AGAGGCGGGAAUAUAACAACAAGACGAGAAGACCCUAUGGAGCUUUAAUUAAUCGACCCAAAGAGAUCCCACUAACUAACCGACAGGAACAACAAACCUCUAUAUGGGCCGACAAUUUAGGUUGGGGCGACCUCGGAGAAUAAAACAACCUCCGAGUGAUUUAAAUCUAGACUAACCAGUCAAAAGUAUUACAUCACUUAUUGAUCCAAAAACUUGAUCAACGGAACAAGUUACCCUAGGGAUAACAGCGCAAUCCUAUUUUAGAGUCCAUAUCGACAAUAG
rnacentral:rRNA from 1 species